UAUCUCAGGCAUAGGCCCUCCCGAUGUUUGGGACUACAAUUCCCAUCAUCUCUAACUAACAGGACCAAUGGUUAGGGAUGAUGGGAAUUGUAGUCCCAAACAUCUGGAGGGCUGGAGUUUGCCUAUGCCUGAUCUA